CGUGGAGACAGGUGGUGCAUGGCUGUCGUCAGCUCGUGUCGUGAGAUGUUGGGUUAAGUCCCGCAACGAGCGCAACCCUCACCUCUUGUUGCCAUCAGGUCAUGCUGGGCACUCUAGAGGAACUGCCCCGGUCAACGGGGAGGAAGGCGGGGAUGACGUCAAGUCAUCAUGCCCCUUACGUCCUGGGCUACACACGUGCUACAAUGGCCGGUACAAAGGGAUGCCACACCGCGAGGUAGAGCUAAACCCAAAAAGCCGGUCUAAGUUCAGAUUGGAGUCUGCAACUCGACUCCAUGAAGGAGGAAUCGCUAGUAAUCGCGUAUCAGCACGACGCGGUGAAUACGUUCCCGGGCCUUGUACACACCGCCCGUCAUACCACGAAAGUCUGCUGUACUCGAAGUCGCUGAG
rnacentral:rRNA from 1 species